GACAGAGGUCCCGAGCGUUAGGCGGAAUCACUGGGCUUAAAGCGUGUGUAGGCGGACUUCUAAGUACCUUGUGAAAUCCCACGGCUUAACCGUGGAACUGCUUGGUAUACUGGUUGUCUUGGGCCAUCUAGGGGCUACUGGAACAAACGGUGGAGCGGUGAAAUGCGCAGAUAUCGGGAGGAACACCGGUGGCGAAGGCGGUUCUCUGGGCCUUACCUGACGCUGAGGAGCGAAAGCGUGGGGAGCGAACAGG
rnacentral:rRNA from 1 species